UUCCGUGUCCGCUCCGCGAGAUAGAGAUACCCUUUUAAUUUUAUUUUGGGCGCAGAAUUUCUUCACACAGUUUUCAUAGCUGCAAAGCUCCGAUCUUUGCCCUAACGGUCUGAUUUUGGGGUUGCCUCCCAUCAGCAGCAGAACCACAAAUUCGCCACCAUGACUGAGUAUUGGGUUAGCCAGGGCAACAAAUGGUGUGACUUCUGCAAAAUCUACAUAUCAAACAACCCUUCUAGCAUUAGAAAUCAUGAGCUUGGUCAACGUCACAAGGAUAAUGUUGCUAAGAAGCUUGCUGAUAUGCGAAAAGAGAAAGUUGCAAAAGAGAAGGAAGAAAAAGAAGCAGAACGUGCCCUUCUGCAAAUUGAAGCAAAAGCUAAGCACAGCUAUCAAAAGGAUGUGGCAAGCUUUCAGGAGGCUAGAGAUGCCCGGGCAUUCGAUGUUGAAGAUGAUGGUCAAGAGAAAUGGCAGUAUAACAGUACCUCUGGUUAUUACUACAAUCAAAGUAACGGCUUUUACUAUGAUGCGAAUUCAGGCUUCUACUAUUCUGACGCUAUAGGAAAAUGGGUGGCACAGGAAGAGGCAUAUGCGAACCCGCAGUUUUUAUCAAAUGCUGGAUAUAAAGAAACCAUUUUGAAAAAGCCAGGGUCAACUUCAGGGGCAGGACCAGCUACAGAAAACAAAGGUGCUGAUAAAUCUCAAAAUGGGCCUCCACCUGGGCCAGUGGUCUCAGCUUCUUUAAACCCUAUGAGAUCUGUUAAAGGUGCUCGUUCGUCAGUUUCUGUUGGAAAGAGAAAGAGGCAAGAGGAGAAGCCAAGGGCUAUAUCCGCACAAGAAGCAGCUGCACUUAAAGCGAGGGAGGCUGCAAGGAAGAGAGUUGAAGAGAGAGAGAAACCAUUACUUGGUCUUUACCGGCCGCAGUGAUUUGGCCGCUCAAGCAAGUUCAUAUCCUUAAGGACCUUAACACAAAGGAAGUCACGAAGCCUUUUGAAUACAACUACUCAUUUUAUGCAAUGGCUGGUCCUAAGUUGUUGGUUAUAUGAUCUCGCAUUACAUUUCAAUUGCCAAAAAUUGCUUGCUGGCAUUGCAAAUUUGGUGAGUAGCAGUACCUGAUAUGUUAAUUUGUACAAUUUGUUGCGAGCUUAUUGAAUGGUGGGUUUCAUUAUGAAAGAUGUUAAUUAUUAGGUUCUUCAAAUGAUGGGUGUCUGAGCCUUCUUCAAUGUGCAACUGCUGGACAAUUAGGGUGAAAGUAAUCUCAUAUCCCUAGUACUUCUAUUUUUCUUUUACUUCCAACAUAUGAAUAUGGCCGAUGCAAUUCUAGUUACAUUUUUCAACAAGGAGGAACGUCAUCAUAACAAAGAAUUUAUGAGCUGAUAUCGGCUCGCAGGUGCCUCUUGGAACCACAUUAAUAUGUUGUUUAUUGAAAAUGCUCUAUUGUUAGGCGUGCAAACCAUCAAUUUGAGUUAUUGAUAAUGUGUGUUCUUGUUUGAACCUGGGGUCCAAAUUGAUAGUUUGGUAAUACAGUUUGAUCAGAGAACAUCGCCUAACGUUCACAUUCUUGGGAUGUAAGAUGUCUUAACGUUAUUCAGCCCAGCUAAUUCGAAUAUUCUGGCUUCA